AUCCGUUAAAGAGACGACUGCUAACAAAGAGAUACUUCUCGUCUCCUUUAUCUCUCUUGGUGAAAUCUCUCUUCAUGCGAACUGGGUUCGCGCGAAACCGAUGCCCCGAUCUUUUUCUUGCGAUUUUGUGAGUUAGGGUUUGAAGUUUCCUUAAUCGUUCGUUGUAGGGAUGUUGAAUCUACAUGGAAGCACUUGACUCCGCUCGAAAUCAUCGUCGUUGAGUGUCUUUGUGCGGAGAAGCCAUAACAACUGAAUAAGUCUGAAUCUGUGAGCCAAACAGCUGAAGCAACAAAACAUAUAAGCUCUUUUACUUCCUCUUUUUUUUUUCUUGAUUCAACAACAAACAUAAAAUUUGAUUAGAAAUUUCAAAUGUUUUCAUCAAAUCCAAGAGAUGAGCUUUUUCUGCUUUGUUUUUUUAUCAAAACAGAGAACCUUUGUUUUGGUUAUUUAUCAACGCCCCCCCCCCCCCUCCCCCCCAAAAAAAAGAUCAUUGACAGGCUUAUCUAAUAGUGUCCUGACAGAUUCUUAUUUGGGGAUGUUGCCUGAAGCCUAGACCAAUCAAAUUUUUUUAAAUCAUGGUCCCAACAACUAUUGGUUCGGUAGUGCAUGUCUGAGUAAAAGAUGGAAAGUACUGACAGACUUUAGUUACCCACGGCUUACAUAAACAACAUCAGAUUGCUUAAGAAAAGUCUUUAGACAGAGACUUUGAGUGAUAUGUACCCACAGCUUGGAUAAACAACAUCAGAUGGCUUAAGAAAAGUCUUUAGACAGAGACUGUGAUAUGUACCCACGGCUUACCUAAACAAUAACAAACGGCUUAAGAAAAAUCUGUAGACAGAGACUGUGAUGGGUACCCACGGCUUACAUAAACAACAUCAGAUGGCUUAAGAAAAAAGUCUUUAGACAGAGACUUUGAGUGAUAUGUACCCACGGCUUACCUGUAGACAGAGACUGUGAUGGUACCCACGGCUUGCAAUAAGAUUUUUAGACAAAACUGUGAAAUCCAAUGUUGGAUGGAUCAAAUGUCCCGUAGCUUUCAAAACGACUAUGAGAUGGUGGAUGGAUCAAACGACCCACAAGUCCCAAACUAAAAAAAAAGUCUUUAGACACACAAAUACUAUGAACGUUUGGAUGAAUAAAAUGACAAAUGGUACACCAUACAGUCUUUUAGGCAAAGACUAUGAGUUACCCACGGCUUAUAAAGGUUUUAAACAAAGACAUUGACUUGAAAAUGUUCUAUGAAGGUUCUUUAGACAAGUAUCGAUACCCACGGCUUAUGGAAAAGUUUUAGACAAGAACUUUAACUUGGUUGGUACACACGACUUAUUAAAAGUCUUUAGACAAAAUAUUGAGCACAAAACAUGUUAUGAAGACCGGUGGUGGUGGCCUAG